rnacentral:misc_RNA from 1 species
UCCAUCUUAAAACCAGGUGCGGUCGCGGCCUCCAGGUGCAAGCCUGGGUGGUUUUCGCGCCGCAUUCCUGCACCCUUUUUUUACGAGCACCUUCGUUCUCCUUCGGCGGGGCAACCUGCCGCUGGAACUCAACAAAACCUUUUUUUGCAUCUAGCAUUACCUGUUCUGAUACAAACAAUCGUUA